CGUUGUCGUUGUCGUUUCAAUACGACUCCCGUGUUUCGCUGCGGCCGGUUUGUAUGCUGUUCUCAAAGUUGGGGUCCACAGGAGUGAUGACAACAAAGAUUCUCAAGGCAUCAACUCUGGGAAGCUGGAAGAAAAUGCCUUGCAGUGAAAAUCUUGAAGAAAAUGCAGAAAGAGGCUCUCUAUUCUGCAGUAUGACUUCUGUCUUGCUAAAAUAAAAGCAACUGGUUGUGGUGGUGUAUUGCAAA